UUUGCUUCCAUCCCUUUACCAGGUAACAACCAGGUAUUCUCAAAUCCUUCACUCACUGAUCUACAUCUUCUGAUAACUAAUAUUGUAGUCUCAUUUAAGAUUGUUGUUCUCUAAACAAUAGGACAGCAAUCUUAAAAUCCAUUUUCUACAAUACUCUGAAUAUUUACCAUCUGGACGAGGUUACAAUUUUCCACCAUCUAGACCUUACACACAAACAGGUAUUCACAGGUAUGUAGUCCUUACAAACAGGUAUUCACACGUACAUAGACCUUACACACAAACAGGUAUUCACACGUAUGUAGACCGUACACACAAACAGGUAUUCACACGUACAUAGACCUUACACACAAACAGGUAUUCACAGGUAUGUAGACCUUACACACAAACAGGUAUUCACACGUAUGUAGACCUUACACAUAAACAGGUAUUCACACAUACAUAGACCUUACACACAAACAGGUAUUCACAGGUAUGUAGACCUUACACACAAACAGGUAUUCACAGGUAUGUAGACCUUACACACAAACAGGUAUUUACACGUAUGUAGACCGUACACACAAACAGGUAUUCACACGUAUGUAGACCACACACAAACAGGUAUUCACACAUACAUAGACCUUACACACAAACAGGUAUUCACACGUAUGUAGACCUUACACACAAACAGGUA